ACAUCUAGUUAACAAACAGUGGUGCUACAAAUCACAUGACUUCAGAUCUUCGACCUCUCUCCAACAUUACUCCUUCAACCUCCACUGAUAAUGUUACUAUAGGAUCUGAAGGGGCAAAUUCUGUAUCAAGGCAAGUGCAAUAAUGGUCUUUAUCCACUGCCAACAAGAAUCCCUCCCAUUUUACCUCACUUGGCUGCUUUUCAUGGACGAAAAGUUUGUCA